rnacentral:sRNA from 1 species
AACCUAGUGCGACGUGUGGGCGUGGCGGGGGCUGGGGUCUGCGGGCGAAGGUGGCAGCCCAUUGGAGGUCCCGGGAGCGAAGUCCAGCUGCCGUUAGGCGCUGGGAUAGUCGCACGCUGGAUGCAUCUACGUCCGCCGAGCCCCUGGGGCGAAGAGGCCGCGUCCGCCUUCAGUUGUGGCCGGUGCUUCGCCCCCUGACCCUUCGCCCCCAAAGACCAGCUCUAACGUUAAUUUGGAGUGGCCCCUGGAGUCAGUCUCCUACACCAUCCGAGGCCCCACCCAGCACGAGCUACAGCCUCCACCAGGAGGGCCUGGAACCCUCAGCCUGCACUUCCUCAACCCUCAGGAAGCUCAGCGGUGGGCAGUCCUAGUCCGAGGUGCCACCGUGGAAGGACAGAAUGGCAGCAACAGCAACUCACCACCAGCCUUGGGCCCAGAAGCAUGCCCUGUCUCCCUGCCCAGUCCCCCGGAAGCCCCCACACUCAAGGGCCCUCAACCUGAGGCAGAUCUUCCUAGGAGCCCUGGCAACUUGACGGAGAGAGAAGAGCUGGCAGGGAGCCUGGCCCGGGCUAUUGCAGGUGGAGACGAGAAGGGGGCAGCCCAAGUGGCAGCCGUCCUGGCCCAGCAUCGUGUGGCCCUGAGUGUUCAGCUUCAGGAGGCCUGCUUCCCACCUGGCCCCAUCAGGCUGCAGGUCACACUUGAAGACGCUGCCUCUGCCGCAUCCGCCGCGUCCUCUGCACACGUUGCCCUGCAGGUCCACCCCCACCGCACCGUUGCAGCUCUCCAGGAGCAGGUGGGCACAGGGUCUGGGGAGCCCUGCCAGGGGCAGAGGAGCCUAGGUGACAUCACCUGCCCUGAUGCUCUGACCACAGGUGUUCUCAGAGCUCGGUUUCCCGCCAGCCGUGCAACGCUGGGUCAUCGGACGGUGCCUGUGUGUGCCUGAGCGCAGCCUUGCCUCUUACGGGGUUCAGCAGGAUGGGGACCCUGCUUUCCUCUACUUGCUGUCAGCUCC